rnacentral:antisense_RNA from 1 species
CUUCAGCGAGCCCAGGUACAGCGGCCGCCCGGCGCGCUCCCGGCCGUAGGUCGCCAGCAGCGCCUGGGCUUC